rnacentral:rRNA from 1 species
AUGAGGGCGGCGGCGCGGCCCAAGAUCGGCGACAGGGCGACGAGCGACGUGGUGGUGCGGCUGCGGACGCCGGACUCGGGCCGGGACGAGUGGCUCUACUGCCACUCCGGCGUGCUCGCCGCCGGGAGCGCCUACUUCGCCGACCGCCUCUCCGACGCCUGGCCGACGUGCCAGAUCCUCGACUCGCGCUACUGCGUCGAGGUCCACUGCCGCGACGCCGACCUCAGCUCCCACGUCACCGCGCUCCGCCUCCUCUACGCCGCCGACCCCGUCUCCCGCUUCGGCGUCCGCGGCGCGCUCGCCCUGCUCGACGCCGCCGCGCACCUCGCCUGCGCCCGCACCGCCGCCGCCUGCGCCGACUACCUCGAGUCCGCCCCCUGGGACGAGGCCGACGAGGAGGAGAUCCUCGCCGCCGCCCCGCGCCUCGGCGCCCACCGCGCCCGCGUCCUCGCGCGCCUCCGCCCCGCCGAUCCGGGCCCCGCCACCGCCAUCUUCCUCUCCGCGUUCCGCCACGCGACGGCCGCCUCGCGGGAGCUCAAGUCCGCCGCCCAGGAGCAGCUGGAGUACAUGCUCACCGAGGACGACGACGCGCCGCUGCUCACCUUCGGCGCCGGCAGCGACGCCGUCAAGUCUCAGGUGAAGGGAUGCGUCACGGGCCUACUGAACAGGUUCAGCGAUUUCACGGGCUCCGCACUGACGAAACAGACGGAGGCCCCUUGCUCCGGCGAGCUUCAGCAGGAUCUGCACUCCUUCGUCUCCGACAUCGCCUGGGUCUGCCAGGUCCUGGGCAAGCUGGAGAUGAUGAAAUUCCUCGCAGCCUACUGGGUGGAAGCGUCGUCCGCCGUCGUCGCAGCCGUGGAGGCGGCGGCGGCGGCGGAGUGCCACCCGGGGCCUGAAUGUCUGAAGACCAGGCUGAAGGUCGUGGAGAUAUCCGCAAAGGUGCUGGAGGCCGUCGCGUUCGGCAACGUCGUCCUCCCGGCGGAGAAGCGGCGCCACGCCGUGAGCGUCUGGAUCGGCUUCGCCGGGGCAACGAGGCAUCUGGUGGACGAAGCUGACCGCGGCAACGACGACGGUGACGGUAAUAAUGGUGAUGGAGACACUGAAGCCGAAGCUGCAUCAGCAGCAGCAGCAGCAGCAGCAGCAAAGGUCGGCCUGGACGGCGAGGUGUGGCAGGGGCUGGAGUCGGCGAUCACCUCGAUCGUGACGACGCUGCCGUCGAACGCCCAGGCCGAGGUGCUGUCGGAGUGGCUUCAGUCGAAGCACGCCGCGUUCCCGGACCUGUCGGAGGCGUUCGACGCCUGGUGCUACAGGUCCAAGGUCGCGCGGAGGAGGCUGUCUUUCCUGAACAGCGCCAACCCGGCGUCCUGA